rnacentral:rRNA from 1 species
UAGAGCUGAGUUCAGGCAAGA